rnacentral:rRNA from 1 species
UACGUAGGGAGCGAGCGUUAUCCGGAUUUAUUGGGUGUAAAGGGUGCGUAGGCGGCUUUUUAAGUCUGUGGUCUAAGUCCGAAGCUUAACUUCGGUUCGCCAUAGAAACUGAUUAGCUUGAGUGUAGUAGAGGCAAGUGGAAUUUCUAGUGUAGCGGUUAAAUGCGUAGAUAUUAGAAGGAACACCAGUGGCGAAGGCGACUUGCUGGGCUAUUACUGACGCUGAGGCACGAAAGCGUGGGGAGCAAAUAGG